GUUGAGGGCACUCCCAGUCCCCGGAGUGGCAAGACACACCAAACCCAGGUUUCAGAGAUAGCUUUCAUUGCACCUGGGGUCGACAGUAAUUCCCCACCCCAUGGAGAGGUGAGACACCCUGAACCUGGGUGUCGGGGGGAACUCCCACCACACCAGGGGUAGAGGGCAUCCACUCGCCCAGGAGAAGCGAUACACCUGAACCUGGGUGUGUGUGUGGGGGCUCUCACAGCACCCGGGGUAGACUGCACUCCUUACUCGGGGAGGGGCGUGAGACACCCCGAAUCAGCAUGUUGGAGGGAGCUCCCACCUGACCCAGGAUCAAGGGUACUCCCCGUCCCGGUAGUGGCGAGACACAAUGAACCUGGGAGUCCGGGAAAACUCCCACCACACCCGUGGUCUAGGACACUAACCCACACCGGGAGGAAUGAGACACCCUGAUCCCAGGUGUAGGGGGAGCUCCCACCACACCUGGGGCUGAGGGGACUCCCCUGCUCUGGGAAGUGGGAGAACCCCAAACCCUGGUGUGUGUGUGGGGAGCUCCCACUGCACACAGGGUCAAGGGCGCUUCCCUCCUGGAGGCGGGAGACCUUUUGAAACCGGGUGUAAGGGGGAGCUCCUACCACACCCUGGGUCGAGGGCAGUCCCCCCACCCUGGGUGGCAGAAGACCCCUGAACACAGGUGUCGGGCGGAAUUUACCCCCUGGGAGGGGCAAGACCUCCCCCCCCCAACCUGUGUGUAUGGGGAGCUCCCACAGCACCUGGAGUUGAGGGUACUGCCCCCCCCCAUGGGAUGUGCAAGAACUCCCAAUCCUGGGUGUCGGGGUGAGCUUGCACUACACCGGGGUCCAGGGCACUCCCCAUUCCAGGGAGGGGCGAGACACCCCAAACCCGGGUGUCUGAGGGAGCUCCCACUACACCCGGGGCAGAUGAGACUACCCUCUCAGGGAGGCAGGAGACCCCUCCACCUGGUAUUGUGGGGAGCUCCCAGCACACUCAGAGUCGAGGGCACUCCCCACCCAAAUGGUGAGACCCCCUCACCCUGUGUCAGGGGCUUCUCCCACUGCACCUGGGGACGAAGGCACUCCCUCCCUGGGAGAGGCGAGACCCCCAUGAACCAGUGUUUUGGGAAGAAUUCCCCCUGGGAGGGGCAAGUAUCCCCGAGACCGGGUGUGGGGGAAGCUCCCACCAUACCAGGGGUCUAGUACACUCCCCUUCCCAGGAAGGGGCGUGACACCCCAACCCGGAAGUCCAGGGAACUCACUCUGUGCCUGGGGUCGAGGGCACUGACUCCCCCCAGGGGCGAGACAACCGGAACUCGGAUGUCGUGGGGAACUUCCACUGCACCUGGGUUCGAGAGCACUCCUAUCCCUGGGUGGGGAGAGACACUCGGAACUGGGUUUCGGGUGGAGAUCCCACUGCACCCGGGGUUGAGGGUACACCCCCCAGAAGGGGCAAGACCCCCAGAACCCGCGUGUUGGAGGUAGUACCACACUGGGGGUUGAGGGCUCUCAGGUUCCCUGAGCAGCGAGAACCCUGAACCUUGAACCCUGAAUCCUGAGCAGCUUCCACGAACCUGGGGUCAAGGGCACUCCCUCCCCCCAGGAGGGGAGAGAAACACUGUAGCCAGGUAUUGGGUGGCCUUACCCCCCAGGGAGAGGAGAGACCCCUCCAACCCGGGUGUUGGGGGAGUUCCCACCACACACCAGGUGGAGGACACUCCUCCACCGGGAGGGGUGGGACACCGGGAACCUGGGUGUCUGGGGGAGCUCCCACAACACCUGAGGACGAGGGCACUCCCCUCCCUGGGAGGCACUAGACCCCUGGAACCCGGGUGUUGUGUGAAGCUCCCACAGCAGUGGGGUCGAGGGCACUCCCCCCCUGGGAAGUGUGAGAUCCCUGGAACCCAGGUGUGUGUGUGGGGGGAGCUCCCACCGCACCUGGGGUCAAGGGCACUCCCCCCUCAAAUGGGUGAGACCUCAGGAACCUGGUUGUCAGGGGGAGCUCCUCCCACACCCAGGGUCGAUGUUCCUCCCCACUCUGGGACGAGAGAGACCCUCAAACCCAAGUGUUGGGGGUACUGCCCCCACCAGGAGGAGGAGACACCCGCACCCGAGUGUCGAGGAAAGCUCCCAGUGCACCUGGGGUCAAGGGCACUCUUCCCCCCCCCCCCAAGGGGUGAGACAUCCCAAACCCAUGUGUCAGAUGGAUCUCCCAUAUCUGGUGUCUAGGGCACUUCCCUCACACACUGGGAUUCGGGAGACCCCGAACCCGAGUAUGGGGGGGGAGGUUCCACCAUACUGGGGAGGAGGGGACUCCACUCCCACCAGAGGCAGGAGACCCUUGAACUCGGGUGUCAGGGGGAGCACCCAUCACACCCGGGGUUGAGGGCACUCCGCCCUGGAGGGGCGAGACCCCAGGAACCUGUGUAUCAGGGGGAGCUCCCACCACACUUGGAGUCGAGGUCACUUCCCCUGGGAUGGUCUAGACCCCCCAAACCCAUGUGUUGGGGGGACUGGCCUCACCAGGAGGAGGAGACCCAUGCACUCGAGUGUCCGGGAAAGCUCCCAGCACACCCGGGGUCAAGGGCACUCCCUCUCAGGAGAGGCAAGACCCCCAGAACCUGGGUGUCGGGGUUAGUUCCCACCGCACCAGGGGUCAAGGGCACUCUCUCAGCCCCCCCCAUAAGGGUGAGACACCUAAAAUUCGAAUUUCAGGGGGAGCUUUCACCACAUUCCCCCCACUGACACCCCUAACACGUGUUAGAGUCUGUAAACAAGUCAAAAUAACACCUGGCAUUUUGCCGGGGGAAUGUUAGAGUUUGUAAACAAGUCUGGAUGGUGCCUGGCAAAAUGCCAGAGGGAGUGGUUCGAGAAGUAACAAAAGCGAGCCAUUAAGUGUGGAGAUUCCUGAUUGGUUGACUAAUGUAUCUAGUUUAUGCUAAUUAAGAUAAGCUGU
rnacentral:lncRNA from 1 species